UAUCUUCUUAAAGAGAUUUGUACCCUUUGC
rnacentral:piRNA from 1 species